CAAACUAUGACAGCCAAUACUCUUCCACAGGGACAGUCAUAAACCCUCAUAGUUUGGUUGGCUCCUUUAGGCACCAAUCACUUGGAACAUGUUUGGGACACCCCCUUCUAGGACUUCACAAAUCUUCCAAAUCCCUUCUUGCACUAUAUCACCUUCAAAACACCAACAGCACGCUGUCCAUCACAGUCUGAGACACAAAAUCAAACUUUGUGUCCUCUCUAGCACGUGCCAACCUCUUCAUAGAACCCUGCAAGGAAUUUACAAACAAAUUACAUGUUUUAAAGGGUCAUUCCACGCCUUGGCAUUUAUUUAUCAACGCGGAAGUGACCCCAAAUACAUUUAUAACUGUCACGGGUUACCCUAGACUAGGGUUUUGACAGUUUUUACUAAAAUUGAUAUAACUUCUACAAAUCAGAAUGAAAUUCAAUGAAACAAAGGGGAAACUAUAUAGGAUUUACUCCUCUAACAUAUCCAAUUUAUUUGCAACUCCAAUGAAUAUAUUAAAGAAAUGAAAAAUUCAAACUAGCAGACUGUAGCUUGAAAACUCAAAGAAAUCGCACGGUAAAACUCAAAAAUUUAUUGAUAGUGCUUCAUUAUAUUGCCCAACCGACCUGUGGGACGAUUAAAAAGAAGUAUAUAUAGAUCUCCUUAUUCCCCCAAUGUUUAUAACUGACUUUUGAAUUCUAACUAACCUCAAACAACCUUUCAUACAAUUUUUUUUUUUGCAAUAAUGCAUUGACAACUUUUGUAUUUUUGCACUAAUAAAGUAAAACUCAACCUACUGACCCUAGAUGACUCUAAACCAUCUAUUUGGACCUUAGAGACCCAAAUACAACCCUAUUGCAUCAAAAUUCACAAUUUGACUUGGUUUGACCCUUGAUGGCCUUACAGGCUUACAUGACCUCAAUGACACAAAUUGCCUCACAAUGUGGAUUCAAAGGAUGUAAUGGGUAAUUCAGAGCUUAUUUAACACAAAAAGAAAUCAAAUGACCUUAUCAUGGCCUUAUUACAUGAAUUUCAACAAAAGACACAAAAUGGUUCAUAAUCACUUCAAGGGGAAACUUGGUGCUCCUCCACCACCCUGAAAGACGUUCAAGCCCCUACACAGGUCAAAUCUUCUCCAUUGACACGCAAAUUAUGGAGAAACGGCAUCAACACUCUUGCCACCUGCAAUGCUUUGAUAGAGUAUUUAAAAAUGUGGGAAUCUAAUGUUUGUUUUAAAGUUUUGAAAGCUGGAGAUUUGAUAGCGGUAAGGGAGACUUUUUUAAAAGUUGAAAAGACCGUUAGUACUGUAUGCAUACAAUACUCCAUCAAUUUUGGUAAGUCUCCCCAAGCAAAUGUGCAUAAAUAUACGUAGCUUUGGUUUGUGGCUCACAAUACCCCACUUGCCUUUUCUUCUGUUUCUUUAGACCAAAAAAAAUGUUGCAGGUUCGAGGAAAAAAAUGGCUUCUGGAAAAGCAGUUGCAGUUGCCAAUAUUUUGGCACUUUUGGGCAUGCUAAGCAUUCUUGCGUUGGUUGAAGGAUGUGUGGAAUGUGAGAAGCUGUCAGCAGUGUUGUGUGCUUUCUCUGUCUCAUCGGCGGGAGCUCGGUGUGUGCUCGAGAAGAAAUACUCCCGUCACCACUACUCAUGAAGCAUCAGUAGAAGUCCUCUGCCAGGCAAUACAUUCUCUUACGAUACUCAGAUCUUCUUUUCUUUUCUUUGUUCAAUGGAAUCCCACUACUAGUAUAAUUUUAGCGAAUAAUGAGUGAUACAUGUGUAUUCCAGUCAUCGGGCAUAUUUGCAGAGGAGAUGACUGAAUGGAUUGAGAGCGAGGACUGCCUGAAAAUAUGUGGGUUGCAGAGAAUAAGUGUGGGCAUGUCAACUGACGGUCUUUUUGAAUAUUUUUAUUUCACCUCUAGUCUGUACUCAGACAAGUGCCAAAACAAUUGCCCUAACAUUGUGAAUCUGUAACUCAAUCUGGCUGCAGGGGAAGGAAUAUAUUUACCUCACCUGUGUGAAGCUCACAAAACACGAAGCAGGCGAAUGGUGAUGAAGACUGCGGCUGCGCCAACUAUAAUGCCUUUUUCCCUUACUGGAGAAGCUGGCUCCACACGCUAGAACAUAAUAUCUGUCAGUGCGGAAAAGUGGCUAGGAAGCGAAAAAGCAUCGUUAUAAUUUGCCAGCUUGCGAUUACUAUGAAGAAAGACCUGGCGACAAUGUUCUGCAAUAAGUUUUCAAGUAAAAUCUUGAAUCCAAAGAGCCACUCUGCAUCAUAAAGUUUUGAAACCAACACUCUGCAUUAUAAAGUUUUGAAACCAACUGUGAUGUGUUUACACCAUGUUGUGUAGGCUGGUUUGGAUCUACAUUGAGAAUCGUUGCAUCCUUUGUGUAAUUCUUUGAACAAUAAAUCAAACCUCUAAUAGGGCAACCUUCAUAAAGAACGCGAGGAUGUGUGCAGGAACAUUUUUAUUGAAGUUCAAACUUAGAUCUUCUGAAUGUUUGUUCUCAAAGAAUGCACCAUCAAAUUCAUUUUCAAAACAAUGACUGCUAAGUUCUUCUAA